GGUUGGCUGCUAUGCCUAGCUCGUUUUCUUCACAUGAUCUGCAAAUAUUAGGUAUUCUGUGCUUAUGAGGUGCCUUUCAGUCUUUUAUUUAUUUAUGCAGGACACGGUUGUGUUCUUUCCCAUAUAUGAGAUAGAAUAAAUAUUAUACAGACGAGCUUAAGUCUGUUGUUAUACAUGUGUCAAAAAAUAGUAACCCAAAAUAUUCAUCUUGCCUUCGAUUAUUGUGUAUGGAUGUCAAUGCUAUGCAACUUUUGGGGCUAGUCAAGGGAGUAACUAGUUGGCUCCAGGAAUAGGGGAAACUGCGCCGACUUCUAAUCAUAUAUCCUGAACAGAACCCCUUCUACUCAAGGAGGCAGACGACGAAGAUCUAAAAUUCUGUAGCUUACUAUAAUCUGUAUUAUAUAGUUUUGUUUCUCAGAUAAUCUUUACAUAGAGGCAUGGACCUUCACACACUCUUUCUGAAAUUUUGCUUGGUCUUGUGCUUGUGCAGAUAGAGACGAGAAGUAAAUCUUCAGUAUUUGUGCCCUGCAACUGUGAAAAAUAUAAAGCUAUGAUUGUAUAUAAGAAGGGUUCAAAAGAUGCCGAGGAUUACGAAAUCAUUUUUGGUGGCGAGCCAAACGCCACUGCGUCCCCAACCAUUGACAGGAACCACUGGGUGUGGCAGAACUGCUGGAGGUUCGGGUUGUGCGCUUUUUGGAUCCGUGUUGUGCGCCGCCUGCCUUUCUCGUUCCUCAUCCACGACUGCUCGCUUACAGGUCUCUGCCACGAGUGCCAACUACCAACAACUGCCCUCACCUAGCUUAAUCAGGCAAUCUUUACUCGCAGCUAUACACGUUCAGUGAUUUGUGUAUGGAUGUCAAUGGGAUGCAGCUUCCGGGUCUGAUCAAUGGAGUAACUUGUUGGCCGAAGAAACAGGAGACUUCUGAUCGUAACUUAACUUCCCAGAUUCAGUAUUAUAUAGUUGUAUUUGUCAGGUUUAGUCAAAAGAUAGCGCAAGGCAGAUUGCACUCCCGGAUACGCUGUCCUCAACGAGUGCGGUGAGCUGGGAAACCAAUAGGAGCUGCAAAGAAGAGGGAUUGCAAAAAUGAGCUGCAAUAAAAAAUAUCAAUUUAUGUUUUUGUUGUGGAUUCCUAAAAUAAAUGGAUGACGCAUGGCUGAGACCAUGCUGAGAGCAAGUUCGAGAAAAGAGCUAUGACCAGAUAGUUUUACAUCAUGUCUUAGAAUGUCAUUUUUAGAUAUACGUAUCUUGUAUUCAAUGGACCAUGUUCUUUGUAAAGCUACAAAGUUGAUUUAAUAUAUGAGGUAUUUCCAUUUA